rnacentral:lncRNA from 1 species
GGACUGCCUGACGUACGUGACGGCCGGAAGCACGGCGCGGCACCCGGACAAGGCCUGCUGCCCGGAGCUGGCGGGCCUGCUCGAGUCCCACCCGGUCUGCCUCUGCCAGCUGCUGGCCGGCGGCGCCGAGUCAUACGGCGUCAGCGUCGACUACAAGCGCGCCCUCGCGCUCCCUGGCAUCUGCCGCCUCACCGCGCCGCCCGUCAGCGCGUGCGCAGGUAAUAAACAUGCAUGUUCUAUGACAUCGUUGUAUUGUUAUCUUCCCGGUCAGUCGCCGGCUUUGCAUCAGCUGGUCACCUCGCGUGUCUCUCUACUGUCCAGUGGCCAGUGGGUUACACGAGCUAGUAAAAGUUUCAAACAAAAACCUCAGAGCUGCAUAUAGAAAAAGUAAACUUUAGACCAUGACAGAGAGCUGGCCAAACUAAGCAGUUUCCUUGCCACUGCCUACGAUUCUGUUCUUCCGUUCUCAACUAAGUUACAAUCUCUGAGAAGUUUGUGAGAAAGCAAGAUGCUAGUACAAGAAUAAAAUCUUCUUCCUUGCUCAAUCUGUAAAACCAUUGCCUUUUGCAGUACGAUUGCAGUCAAACUUACUCUAGUUAGUAAGAGGAAAGAUGAUAGGAUGAGUUUGCAACUUACUCUGUUCAUCUGAUUACGUCUCCAAUUCCGGUACUAAACUGCUUUAUGAUAUCUGCAGCGUUCGGAGUCCCUCUCCCUGCGGGACUGGUGCCUACUGCAGCGCCCUCGCCCAUGUCAGGCCUCUCUCCUUCUAUGGGUCCAGAAGUACCUGGUAACUUGCUAUCCUUUCCCUGCUCUUGAUUCUCUAGUCCUUCACUAGCAUACAUCUUUGUAACAAAUUGAUAGUGCAUCAGUACAAUCGAAUGGAGGAUAUUAGCACUAAAUGCCAAUUAGAGAGACAUUGACCGCUCUUAACUUCUUAUUCCCUCCGUACCAAAUUAUAAAUCGUUUUAAUUUCAUAGACUUUAUUAUGCACUUAAAUAUAAACUAUGUCUAGAAUUCUAUAUUAUGCAUAAUAAUGUCUAUAAAUUUAGAAAAGAUCAAACGAUACGUAACUUGGGACGGGGGAGUACGUUGCUGAUGUUAACAGAUGCUUGUUAGUAGGUGCCGUCAUAGUCAGUCAGUCACACUCACAUGGUCACACAUUCUUAGAUGACCUGCUUACUCUGCUAACUUAUUACCACUCCGAUCCAUCUCGUGUCCUGCAGCGAACACGCCGGCCGGCUCAGCAGCGAAGUCGUCGAACCACGCCCCAGGCCGCGUCACCGCCGGUGGCCUCAUCGCCCUCGCCGCGCUGCCCCUCGCCGUCGCGGCCGCCGCCGGGAUGCUCUAGGCCACCACCGGAGCUUGUGAUUUCUUCUUC